AUGCAAUGUGAGUUGUCUAGAAUAGUAGUAAAGGUAUAUGAUGUGAAGUUAGCCAAUAUCGAAGUGUUUCAUGUGCAAGUAAGAUACAGGGUUGUCUACACAGAAGUGUGCAUAUUGCACCUGGAUUUAAAAGAGAGGGGUUAAGUAAAGUUUAAGCCUGCUUGGCAAAUGACGUUAUUAUGUUACAUAGGAUACAUUUUUGUGAUAACAUUUCUGUUUAAAAGUGAAAU